AUUGAACGCUGGCGGCAUGCCUUACACAUGCAAGUCGAACGGCAGCACGGGAGCAAUCCUGGUGGCGAGUGGCGAACGGGUGAGUAAAGUAUCGGAACGUGCCCAGUCGUGGGGGAUAACGUAGCGAAAGCUACGCUAAUACCCCAUACGAUCUAUGGAUGAAAGCGGGGGAUCGCAAGACCUCGCGCGCUUGGAGCGGCCGAUAUCAGAUUAGGUAGUUGGUGGGGUAAAGGCACACCAAGCCGACGAUCUGUAGCUGGUCUGAGAGGACGACCAGCCACACUGGGACUGAGACACGGCCCAGACUCCUACGGGAGGCAGCAGUGGGGAAUUUUGGACAAUGGGCGCAAGCCUGAUCCAGCAAUGCCGCGUGCAGGAUGAAGGCCUUCGGGUUGUAAACUGCUUUUGUACGGAGCGAAAAGGCUCUCUCUAAUACAGGGGGCUCAUGACGGUACCGUAAGAAUAAGCACCGGCUAACUACGUGCCAGCAGCCGCCGUAAGAC
rnacentral:rRNA from 1 species